CGGAGCGUAGCGCAGCUUGGUAGCGCACCAGACUGGGGGUCUGGGGGUCGUGGGUUCAAAUCCCGCCGCUCCGACCA
rnacentral:tRNA from 1 species